GGAUUCAGGAACUUGUCCUGAAGUCUGUGAGAGAAUUUAUUAUCAUCAGAAUACCUCUAUUUUUUGGUUGCUUGUUAGAGAACUGUUGACAGCAGAGAAGACGAGAGAUGUGUGUACAUACAGAAGAGAGCUCACUGAAGAAUUGUUUGGCAUUAAAAGCAGGCUGUUUGUGAAUAAGACACCUGAAUAAUGACUCUGAAAUUGUUAUUUUUAUGCAAAUAUGGUUAUGAUGAUGAGGAUGAAUAUACAAAUUAAUGAAGCCUGAUACAGGAAUGAGAAUUAUUUAAUCCAGCAAAAGCUGCAAACAGUAUUUCUAAUCUUUCAAAGGAAUUGCAGGUGAUAAAGGGCUCCCUUGAAAAACAUGCAAAAUUUAUCUACCAGUAGAGUUAGUGAGAAUGUUGCUUUUAACAACUGAGGGAAUAAUUCUGAGAGCAUCUGUCCUCGUUUCAGUUAAGAGGGAGCAACUUUGGAGAACUUGUUGUUAUUGUUAUAAAGAGAAGAAACAAAACAAGGAAGUCAGACUAUGUCAUCCACAAGGU